GCUGGGCAUGGUGGCGCAUGCCUGUAAUCCCAGCAGCUCAGGAGGCUGAAGCAGGAGUAUCAAGGGUUCAAAGCCAGCCUCAACAAAAGUGAGGCACUAGGCAACUCAGUGAGACACCCUGUCUCUA
rnacentral:sRNA from 1 species